rnacentral:rRNA from 1 species
UUUNAGAGUUUGAUUNCCUNGGCUCAGAGUGAACGCUGGCGGCGUGCCUAAUACAUGCAAGUCGAACGAUGAAGCUUCUAGCUUGCUAGAAUGCUGAUUAGUGGCGCACGGGUGAGUAACGCAUAGGUCAUGUGCCUCUUAGUUUGGGAUAGCCAUUGGAAACGAUGAUUAAUACCAGAUACUCCCUACGGGGGAAAGAUUUAUCGCUAAGAGAUCAGCCUAUGUCCUAUCAGCUUGUUGGUAAGGUAAUGGCUUACCAAGGCUAUGACGGGUAUCCGGCCUGAGAGGGUGAACGGACACACUGGAACUGAGACACGGUCCAGACUCCUACGGGAGGCAGCAGUAGGGAAUAUUGCUCAAUGGGGGAAACCCUGAAGCAGCAACGCCGCGUGGAGGAUGAAGGUUUUAGGAUUGUAAACUCCUUUUGUUAGAGAAGAUAAUGACGGUAUCUAACGAAUAAGCACCGGCUAACUCCGUGCCAGCAGCCGCGGUAAUACGGAGGGUGCAAGCGUUACUCGGAAUCACUGGGCGUAAAGAGCGCGUAGGCGGGAUAGUCAGUCAGGUGUGAAAUCCUAUGGCUUAACCAUAGAACUGCAUUUGAAACUACUAUUCUAGAGUGUGGGAGAGGUAGGUGGAAUUCUUGGUGUAGGGGUAAAAUCCGUAGAGAUCAAGAGGAAUACUCAUUGCGAAGGCGACCUGCUGGAACAUUACUGACGCUGAUUGUGCGAAAGCGUGGGGAGCAAACAGGAUUAGAUACCCUGGUAGUCCACGCCCUAAACGAUGGAUGCUAGUUGUUGGAGGGCUUAGUCUCUCCAGUAAUGCAGCUAACGCAUUAAGCAUCCCGCCUGGGGAGUACGGUCGCAAGAUUAAAACUCAAAGGAAUAGACGGGGACCCGCACAAGCGGUGGAGCAUGUGGUUUAAUUCGAAGAUACACGAAGAACCUUACCUAGGCUUGACAUUGAGAGAAUCCGCUAGAAAUAGUGGAGUGUCUAGCUUGCUAGACCUUGAAAACAGGUGCUGCACGGCUGUCGUCAGCUCGUGUCGUGAGAUGUUGGGUUAAGUCCCGCAACGAGCGCAACCCCCUUUCUUAGUUGCUAACAGGUCAUGCUGAGAACUCUAAGGAUACUGCCUCCGUAAGGAGGAGGAAGGUGGGGACGACGUCAAGUCAUCAUGGCCCUUACGCCUAGGGCUACACACGUGCUACAAUGGGGUGCACAAAGAGAAGCAAUACUGCGAAGUGGAGCCAAUCUUCAAAACGCCUCUCAGUUCGGAUUGUAGGCUGCAACUCGCCUGCAUGAAGCUGGAAUCGCUAGUAAUCGCAAAUCAGCCAUGUUGCGGUGAAUACGUUCCCGGGUCUUGUACUCACCGCCCGUCACACCAUGGGAGUUGUGUUUGCCUUAAGUCAGGAUGCUAAAUUGGCUACUGCCCACGGCACACACAGCGACUGGGGUGAAGUCGUAACAAGGUAACCGUAA